rnacentral:rRNA from 1 species
GUGGGGAAUAUUGGGCAAUGGGCGCAAGCCUGACCCAGCAACGCCGCGUGAAGGAAGAAGGCUUUCGGGUUGUAAACUUCUUUUACCAGGGACGAAACAAAUGACGGUACCUGGUGAAUAAGCCACGGCUAACUACGUGCCAGCAGCCGCGGUAAUACGUAGGUGGCGAGCGUUAUCCGGAUUUAUUGGGUGUAAAGGGCGUGUAGGCGGGACAGCAAGUCAGAUGUGAAAACCAGAGGCUCAACCUCUGGCCUGCAUUUGAAACUGUUGUUCUUGAGUGUCGGGGAGGUAAUCGGAAUUCCGUGUGUAGCGGUGAAAUGCGUAGAUAUACGGAGGAACACCAGUGGCGAAGGCGGAUUACUGGACGAUAACUGACGCUGAGGCGCGAAAGCGUGGGGAGCAAACAGGAUUAGAAACCCGAGUAGUCC